rnacentral:tRNA from 3 species
GGAAGGGUGGCAGAGUGGUCGAUUGCACCGGUCUUGAAAACCGGCGAUGGGCAACCAUCCGUGGGUUCGAAUCCCACCCCUUCCGCCA